UUCUUGCACUCUAGGGAUCCUCCUGCCUUGGCCUCCCAAAGUGUUGGAAUUACAGGCGUCAGCCACCACACCCAACACAGCCUAUUAAUGUCAGUCUAUUUCUCUGUUUAACUACGAAUUUCCUGAAAUGUUACCAUUUUUAUAUUCAGAUUUAUAGAAAAGAAGCUUUUGUCUUUUAUGACCUUGACACUUUUGAAGGGUACUGUCAGCUGUUUCGUAGAAUGUCCCUUGCAUUGGGGACUCCGACCUUAUGACUGGACAAGGUUUUUGUUUUUUUGGUUUUUUUUUUUUGAGAUGGAGUCUCACUCUGUCUCCCAAUUUGGAGUGCAGUGGUGUGAUCUCAGCUCACUGCAACCUCUGCCUCCCAGGUUCAAGCGAUUCUCCUGCCUCCGCCUCCCAAGUAGCUGGGAUUACAGGCGCCCAACACCACGCCUGGCUAAUUUUUGUAUUUUUAGUAGAGACAAGGUUUCACCAUGCUGGCCAGGCUGAUCUUGAACUCCUGACCUUGUGAUCCAUCUGCCUUGGCCUCCCAAAGUGCUGGGAUUACAGGCCUGAGCCACCAUGCCCUGCUGGUUUAUUUUUUGGCAUGAAUACCACAGCUGGGAUGUCCUCUUCUCAAUGCAUAGUGGAGAUAUGCAAUGUCAGUCUGUCCAACUCUUGGUCGUAUUAGUUCAGGUGGCAGUUGCGGCUGCCGGGCCUUCUCCACUACAUAGUUACUGUUUUCCCUUUGUCAUCCAUAAAUACCUUGGGGAGAUACUUCCAGACUAAGUGAAUGUCUGUUUCUCUUCCAAGUUUUACCCACUAAUUUCUAAUUUUUUUUUUUUUUUUUGAGAUGGAGUCUCACUCUGUUACCCAGGCUGGAGUGCAGUGGCACAAUCUCAGCUCACUGCAACCUCCGCCUCCCAGCUUCAAGCAAUUCCCAUCUCAGCCUCCCAAGCAGCUGCGAUUACAGGCACACGCCACCAUGCCCAGCUUGUGUUGAAUAUAUCAACAUCCAAGAGUUGAUGAUGCUGCUUAAGGAAAGAAACCUCAUGUUUACCUUUGGAAGUUGUAAGGGCACUGACUUAUAAAAAUCGGGAAAUAAAAGGAAAGAAUCAGGCA